rnacentral:lncRNA from 1 species
GACCACUUCGCCACCACCUGUGGAAUUCCAUUAUAAAUGGUACCCCCUCGAGGAGUCCAAGAGAGAAUUCGACUCUCAACUAGCUACUGAAUUCAUUUUAGAACAAAAGAGAAAAGGAAAACUACUUUUGAAAUGUAGCUAAUAGUUCCGUGGCUGAUGCCGAUUGCCCUCUCCGUCUGCUCAUCUUGGCUUUGUCCGUCCCCGCCGGUGAAGGUGGGAGCUGUGGAUUUCCCCCUUUUGUUCAACAUCAACAAUCAGAUGAUCAGAUCCCAGCUCUGGAUCCGACUGCACAGGAAUGAGUGAUGAGACCAAGCCAGGCCCAGCUUUGGGAGGAACUUUCCCCUCGGGUUGGCAGAGGUGAUUACGUCCCCCAUCCUUGGAUCCCAGCAAAGUCGCAGCGCUGCCGUUUCCACGUGAACACAUACAGCGCUUCCACCAGCCAAGAAUCCUCCUAAACUAGGCAGAAAGUGCAUCGCUCACACCUACAAAAUAGUGGACGCCGGGGGAGACUUGGGAAGAGGAGGAUGCGAAGUUGAAGUUAGUAAGGUCGCUUUGAGAAACUGAAUCUGUUUCUUGUUCUUAUCUCUCCUACUCCUUUCCUGCUCCCUCCUUCCAAAGAAUAUACCCUAAAUAACUUGAGCUUCCUUUCCAACAUUUAAGGGCCUGAUAAUUAUCGAUGCUGUGCAGGGCUCCGGUGGCCCCUGAAGUAAGCCCCCGUCUGGCCGGGGGUGGCCUGGACAAGAGCUGAGGGCCGGCGGUCCAGACAGGGUUGGAUGAAACCGCAGGGCCGGCGAAAGGGUCUUCCCUCGGUGCCCACAAGAAACUCCUGUUGCAGUCACAGUGACAACUUUUGCAGCUCCAUGGGAUUAGCGGGCAGCCCAGACUGCAAUCAGGGCCCAGGGUCCAAGAUCGAGUGCAGUCUUCCCGACCAGACAGGGUGGAGGGUGCAGAGGAGGCCAGAGAGAAACGCGGGGAAGGAUCUGGUCAGAAUGAGCCAUGGGCCACUGUUCGCUGAACCUUUUCCAAGUGGAUCAAACAAUUAUCAAUAUUUUUGCCGUAGCAAACCAUUUGAAUUUAAGAUACCCUGUUUCCUCAACCCUAAAGAAUUA